ACCUGGCUUGCUCAGUGGUUAGAGCGUGUGACUCUUGAUCUCAGGGUUGUGAGUUCGAGCUCCAUGCUGGGUG
rnacentral:tRNA from 1 species